UGAGGAAUAUUGGGCAAUGCCCGCAAGGGUGACCCAGCAACGCCGCGUGGAGGAUGAAUGUCGUAAGAUUGUAAACUCCUGUUAGAGGGGAAGAAUAGUACCGGUUGGACCGGUAUAUGACUGUACCCUCAGAGAAAGCCCCGGCUAACUACGUGCCAGCAGCCGCGGUAAUACGCAGGGGGCAGGCGUUGUCCGGAUUUACUGGGUGUAAAGGGCGCGCAGGCGGGAUAAAAAGUCAGUGGUGAAAUCCUACAGCUUAACUGUAGAACUGCCUUUGNUAAUUUUAUUCUUGAGUUCGUGUGAGAGAGACGGAAUUCCAGGUGUAGUGGUGAAAUACGUAGAUAUCUGGAAGAACACCAGUUGCGAAGGCGGUCUCUUGGUCCGACACUGACGCUGAGGCGCGAAAGCGUGGGGAGCAAACA
rnacentral:rRNA from 1 species